rnacentral:snRNA from 1 species
UUGCUUUGGCAGAACAUAUGCUAAAAUGAACACACAGAUCAGCCCGGCUCCUGUGCAAAGAUGGCACACAAACUCUCUAAGUAUUUCAUAUUUUU